UAAGGAAUAUUGCACAAUGGGGGAAACCCUGAUGCAGCAACGCCGCGUGAGUGAUGAAGGCCUUCGGGUUGUAAAACUCUUUUCUGAGGGAUGAGGAAGGACAGUACCUUAGGAAUAAGUCUCGGCUAACUACGUGCCAGUAGCCGCGGUAAAACGUAGGAGGCGAGCGUUAUCCGGAUUUACUGGGCGUAAAGGGCAAGUAGGCGGUGGUCAAAGUUGGGCGUGACAGAUCCUGGCUUAACUGGGAGAGGUCGUGCAAAACUAGAUCACUAGAGGGCAGGAGAGGGGAGCGGAAUUCCUAGUGUAGCGGUGGAAUGCUCAGAUAUUAGGAAGAACACCAGUGGCGAAAGCGGCUUUCUGGCCUGCACCUGACGCUAAGGGGCGAAAGCUAGGGGAGCGAACGG
rnacentral:rRNA from 1 species